UACAGAGGGUGCGAGCGUUAAUCGGAGUUACUGGGCGUAAAGGGCGCGUAGGCGGUGAGAUGGGUGUGGUGUGAAAGCCCCGGGCUUAACCUGGGAAGUGCACCGCAAACUAUCUGACUGGAGUAUAAGAGAGGGUGGCGGAAUUUCCGGUGUAGCGGUGAAAUGCGUAGAGAUCGGAAGGAACGUCAAUGGCGAAGGCAGCCACCUGGCUUAAUACUGACGCUGAGGCGCGAAAGCGUGGGGAGCGAACAGG
rnacentral:rRNA from 1 species